rnacentral:lncRNA from 1 species
AUCUACCGUUGUCAUCCAUGUAUCAGAUCAUACUCAUAAUACUUCAUUAACUCUCUUAUUAUUUCCUGCUAACAUUUCUGGCUAUCACUUUAUUUCGAAAACUUCGACAAGAUAUUCUUUUGCUUUUAGCUCCCCUUGCUUCAUUCAUUGGCUUGUCGGUUUGCUUAACGUUCUCGCUCUACUAGGAACACGAGCAAUACUAAGGUAAUAUUGCUCACCUUAUCAAGAGGCUUACACCUUUCAGUACGCACAUGAUCUGCUGAAGGCCUCAUAUUUACUUAUCAUAGGCGUCAUACAAAAAUCUGAUUCCUCUGACUCAGCUCUUCUACAACUAUCUCUCUUUCCAACCUUCUUUCCGGAUGUAGGCAUCGUCGUAUUACAAAUAAAAUAGAAUUUCGGAAGGUGAAUUCUUAUAAGUGAGCUCUACCACACGAUCUAGAGUAAGAAGAAAGAGUGACAAUCCUAAAUGCCCUGUAGCCUCAUACUUAUAACUGUGGUGCACGACACACCCAUAAAAAAGAUUCUACUAGACGCGACUUGUAGACUCCCUAGGACAGAACUGUUCUGAUACCACUUUUGUCACGCCCUGAACCUAGGGCCGAGACUGGUACCCAAUGCCUCAGCUAUCCUUGGGUACUAACUUGCAACUAAGGGACUCUGAACAUAUGAUGUCAUACUUUGGCCAUGGGCCACAUUGCAAGAUAACUACGAAUGCUGACUAACUGUUAAUAUAUAACUGGGCCGACAAGGCCAUCAUAACUAUUACAGCUGAUAAACCAACCAAAUAUACAUACAAGACCUGCAAGCCUAACAUAUUGCACUAAUUGACAGGAUAUGUCUACAAGCCUCUAUUGAUGGAUAUACUGUGAUCGGAAUAGCUACCCAACCUACUCAUAACAUAUAUAUAUAUACACACAAGAUGUACAUAAGGUUCUAGACCCAAAAACUCCGAAAGGCUUGGAGCUUACCGAUCAAGCUGAACUCGAGCAAUACCUAUUGUGGAGGCCUACCCGUCUGUCUGUCUGACCUGCACACAUGAAAUGCAACGCCCCCAGAAAAGGGACGUCAGUACGAAAUAAUGUACUGAGUACGUAAGGCAAUAUACUGAAAGCUGAAACUGAACUGAUAAUAUAAUAAUUGCAAGUAGCUGGAAGUCAAAGAUAAUCUGAAGAUAUGCUUACCUGCUGAUACUGACUCAACUCUCUUAAUAUAGUAAAUAAAAUAGCUGUUCGGCCCUAUAAGGCUCGGUAUAUAUAUAUAACUGCUCUGCCGUAGUAGGCUCGCUCAUAAGCGCUCGGCCAUACUAGGCUCUGUAUCUCUCCAACUGGGCUCACUUAUAAGCGAUCGGCCACAAUAGGCUCGGUAUAUAACUUACAAUCUGAUCAGAGGUUGCCCAAUCGGGGCCUGCCCAUCGAUUAUAGCUCGAUGGUAAUGAAAAUACUUUUAAUACUAUAUAUAUGUAAACUUUCUGCUCUCUUGACCGAAAGAAAAAAAUACUCAAUUGAAUAUGAAGUCCUAAUAAGGAUAAUAUUGUAACUUACAAAACUAAGAAAAUAUACGUAAUUUGCGAGACUAGCCAAAUAUACGUAAAUUUCGGGAUACAAAUUUUUCUUUAUGGCUCAUAAAAAAAAUUGUGUAAUGACAAGAUCAUGCCAAAAGAAAGAAGGGAGGGCUUAACAUACCUGAGAUGAUUCCCUUGAUCAAUCACAACCUACAUAUAGAUAGGUGGUUUUGGCAAUUUCUAACACGUUAUUCCGAACUUGACAAUGUGCAGCUUCCUGUUUCAAUAAACUAGCUUCAUGUUUCAAAGAAACUAAUUCAUCACUUGACUAUGUCAUUACCAAGACCAUGUUAAAUACUAGCUCCAACAGUGCAUUCAAUCAACGUCAGAAAGGAACCAACCUUGUAGAAGCCUACUAACUUUCAUGGCAGAAAAAGAUCAAAGCUUUAGGUUCACAAUCUCUUGGGAGGUAAUUAUUGUACGUGAAUAUCUAAUCCGUGUAGAAUUUAGUAUGCAUUACUCUAAAUAACAACCCAAAAUAGUAGAAUAUUAUGAAGAGAGAAAGAGUUGAAAUUUUGUAGCUUUUCUAAGAACUCUCGUUGUUAAGGUGCCAAACUUUUUAUCUGAUUGUAGGGAUUGUAUAUUAAUAUAAAGAAUGAAGUGUCCUUGAUUUAUUAACGUAGUUGCCACCUAAUGAAGGUUUUCUAAGAGUCAUCAAAGGGCUAAAAGGAGGUGCUGCC